UACGUAGGGCGCAAGCGUUGUCCGGAAUUAUUGGGCGUAAAGAGCUCGUAGGUGGCUUGUCGCGUCUGCCGUGAAAGCCCGUGGCUUAACUACGGGUCUGCGGUGGAUACGGGCAGGCUAGAGGCUGGUAGGGGCAAGCGGAAUUCCUGGUGUAGCGGUGAAAUGCGCAGAUAUCAGGAGGAACACCGGUGGCGAAGGCGACAUCCUGGACCGGUAUUGACGCUGAGGCGCGAAAGCCAGGGGAGCAAACGGG
rnacentral:rRNA from 1 species